rnacentral:rRNA from 1 species
CCGAGUCUUAACCGGGCGUUAAGUUGCAGGGUAUAGACCCGAAACCCGGUGAUCUAGCCAUGGGCAGGUUGAAGGUUGGGUAACACUAACUGGAGGACCGAACCGACUAAUGUUGAAAAAUUAGCGGAUGACCUGUGGCUGGGGGUGAAAGGCCAAUCAAACCGGGAGAUAGCUGGUUCUCCCCGAAAGCUAUUUAGGUAGCGCCUCGUGAACUCAUCUCCGGGGGUAGAGCACUGUUUCGGCUAGGGGGCCAUCCCGGCUUACCAACCCGAUGCAAACUGCGAAUACCGGAGAAUGUUAUCACGGGAGACACACGGCGGGUGCUAACGUCCGUCGUGAAGAGGGAAACAACCCAGACCGCCAGCUAAGGUCCCAAAGUCAUGGUUAAGUGGGAAACGAUGUGGGAAGGCCCAGACAGCCAGGAUGUUGGCUUAGAAGCAGCCAUCAUUUAAAGAAAGCGUAAUAGCUCACUGGUCGAGUCGGCCUGCGCGGAAGAUGUAACGGGGCUAAACCAUGCACCGAAGCUGCGGCAGCGACGCUGAUGCGUUGUUGGGUAGGGGAGCGUUCUGUAAGCCUGUGAAGGUGGCCUGUGAGGGUUGCUGGAGGUAUCAGAAGUGCGAAUGCUGACAUAAGUAACGAUAAAGCGGGUGAAAAGCCCGCUCGCCGGAAGACCAAGGGUUCCUGUCCAACGUUAAUCGGGGCAGGGUGAGUCGACCCCUAAGGCGAGGCCGAAAGGCGUAGUCGAUGGGAAACGGGUUAAUAUUCCCGUACUUGGUGUUACUGCGAAGGGGGGACGGAGAAGGCUAUGUUGGCCGGGCGACGGUUGUCCCGGUUUAAGCGUGUAGGUGUGUGUUCCAGGUAAAUCCGGUU